rnacentral:rRNA from 1 species
ACUCCUACGGGAGGCAGCAGUGGGGAAUAUUGCACAAUGGGCGCAAGCCUGAUGCAGCCAUGCCGCGUGUGUGAAGAAGGCCUUCGGGUUGUAAAGCACUUUCAGUCGUGAGGAAGGUAGUGUAGUUAAUAGCUGCAUUAUUUGUACGUUAGCGACAGAAGAAGCACCGGCUAACUCCGUGCCAGCAGCCGCGGUAAUACGGAGGGUGCGAGCGUUAAUCGGAAUUACUGGGCGUAAAGCGCAUGCAGGUGGUUGUUAAGUCAGAUGUGAAAGCCCGGGGCUCAACCUCGGAAUAGCAUUUGAAACUGGCAGACUAGAGUACUGUAGAGGGGGUAGAAUUUCAGGUGUAGCGGUG